CACAGAAAACAGCAUUUGCAAAUUCUUACCAGGAAAUGCCAACUCAGGAAAACAGUUCCUAUUAAAAGCUGAACUGAGAUACAUCCUUUGUGAAAAUUCAGCAGGGAAAUUUUCUGAAUUCCAUAACUGUAGAGACUACUUGCUGCAGAUACAAAAAUAUACAAAAAUAUUUCCUCACUGUAUGUUAAGCUUACGAUGAUGACUAUAUGUUAAAUUUACAGUGAUGGUGAUGAAUGGAAAGCACAAUUUCUCUUCUAGUGGAUAUUGCAAAAUUUUGACACACAUUUAUUCUCCCAGACUGGAACAUGACUGUGAUAGAAAGCUUAAUGUAGAACAUAUUCAUAAAGAAAGGUGGUUUUUUUGUUUGUUUGUUUGUUUGUUUUUUUAAAGUAUUUGAAAUUGCUUUCUUUCUAUAGCUCAGAUGAAAACAUUAACAUUUUAUUUUGGGAAUGUGUAGAUUCACAAGGCUUCAUUCCUUAGUGGUACAAACCUUUGUGCAAAUGGCAAUGACUCCUUGUCUUCUGGCAGCUAUUCUUGGUAGCACUGCCAUGUCACUGGGAGUGUAGCACAUCCUGUGUCAGAGGGGUCAUUCUGUCUUAGGAGUUGUCAGAGCCACAGCUAUGUUCAUCGAGGAGAAUGAGAAUCUCAGAAUAAUAGCUAUAUAUAUAGACACGGUGGAAAUCUGAUUAACAAUAAAUGUUAAUCCCCAAGUGGAACAAACUUAUGCCUAGUUGUGUUUUGUGCUAUUCUAGUGCAGUCCAAUGUCAUGCAGCUGUACCAGCAAUGGAAGAAAUAUGGCGACAAUUAUGUGGGAUGUUCUUUGGAGUUAAACUUUCUAUUUGGCAGAGGUGGAGACAGAUCACAGAGACAGCACCCAUGGGCAUGCAACUUUCCCAUCUCCUGUCCUCCUGCAGCAUGAUGUUGUGCCCAAAAGCACUGGAAAAGGUCUCCACCAGCCACAACAAUGUAAGAUCUUGUUAAGGGAGGCAUACCUUGCUAGUGGGAACCGGGGAUCUGACCUGAACUCCAACUUAAUGCAAGAUUUUGUCCAGCAUAUCCCAUCGAGGCCCAGGAACACAUGCUUUGCAGCAGCAGAUGUUCCAGGAAAACAACAAUUUUGAUGAAACCCAGAGAAAGAGAGCCUACCACUUUCUUUAAUAAUAUAUAAUAAUAGCAAUUAAUCUCACUGUUUAAAGGUGUAUUUUUUAUUUAAAUAUUUUUAUAGGCUUUAUUUCCUCUUUUUUGUCCGUGUUAUUAUAUUUUCAUAUCUGACCACUUCUCAUACUCAUCAGUAGGCUGACACCAUCCUGUACCAGGUUAUCAUUCUUAAUGAUAAAAUAAAUGAUUUGCCAUAAGAAAAAUAAUUCUAAAA
rnacentral:lncRNA from 1 species